rnacentral:rRNA from 1 species
GUCUUUUUGAAUUAUAUUUAAAGUCUGACCUGCCCACUGAUUUUUAAAUGGCCGCAGUACUCUAACUGUGCAAAGGUAGCAUAAUAAUUAGUCUUUUAAUUGAAGGCUGGAAUGAAUGGUUGGACGAAAUAUUAACUGUUUCAUUAAAAUUUUUUUUAAAACUUUAUUUUUUAGUCAAAAAGCUAAAAUAUUAUUAAAAGACGAGAAGACCCUAUAAAUCUUUAUAAUUUUAAAAAAUAGUAAAAUAAGAUUUUUUUAUAGUAUUUUUGAAAAAUUAUUUUAUUGGGGUGAUAUUAAAAUUUAUAAAACUUUUAAUUUUUAUAUCCAUUAAUUUAUGAAAAAUUGAUCCACUUUUUGUGAUUAUAAAUUCAAGUUACUUUAGGGAUAACAGCGUAAUUUUUUUGGAGAGUUCAUAUCGAUAAAAAAGAUUGCGACCUCGAUGUUGGACUAAGGAAUAAGUUUAGGCGUAGCCGUUUAAAUGAUAAGUCUGUUCGACUUUUAAACCCUU